UAAGUAUACAUGACCAAAACGUUAUUUUUGCAGCAUUUGUUACACAUAAUUCUGGAUUUCUUUCUGAAUUUGGGAUGACUUCCAGAUAGUCCAGUAAGACUUUGACUUCAGAUGGUCAAAAUGAUCUCUUGAAGUUGUUCUUUGGGAGGCAAUUGAAGGCACACAACUAAAGGGUUAAAUAUCUGAGGUUUUGAAUUCAGUUCCUCAACUCCAGGGCCAGUGCUAGUCCAUUGUGCCAUUUAUCUGUACCCUACCCCAUCCCCACCCCCAGCUUGUGAAACAGGAGUUGGCUCCUUGCUCACCACCUCUCAGUGAAAAUUUCCAAUGCUCCCUGAAAUGACUACAUCUAAAACCUAAACUUCCUACAAUGUUAAAAAUCCCAGUACUUACCUUCACACUUUACUCUAAAAAACCAUGAGUAUGUAUCAACUCUUACCACCCGUAGCCUCCUAAUGAGCAUCAUAAGUGUAACAAUACUUUAUCACAGUAGCUGUCUUAAAGGCAGUGGGACAGAAGGGAGCCAAAAUAUAAGGAUCAUCCUACUUCUAACAUAUCCAAGUGACUGAGAGGCAGUACCAAUGGGAAUUUUAAAGAAAUUAACAUUUCCGCUAGUUAUGGUUUUAGAACUGAAGAGAAAGUGGGGAUUUGUGGAACAAGCUUCAGGUUUCGCCUAGUGAGAAAUGUUGAGGAAAAGUGUUCCAGAUGUGCAUCCUGCUGAGAACUGAAGGUGGGAGGGAUCUGCUUGUCUCUUGUAAGAAUAUAUGUCUGGAAAACUCACUUGGCAAAGCUUUCCACUUUCCCUAAAGGAUUUUAACUCAUAAUCAUUCAGUAAAGAAAUAUGAUUACCGUAACCAAACCAGGUGGUGAAACAAAUUAAAAAAUAAAUACAAAUCAAUUUACCAUAUACCGUGCAAGACAAUGCCAACAAAAUUCCUUUUUUGAAGUUGAGCUUUGUCUCCCUGUGACAAAAUACACAUGAGUUUGGAAGUUUCAUUUGGGAGCAGGAUACGGAAAACUUUCUGGAAAAAUGUUUUAUUUGGUUCCUCUCAAGAUGACAGAUUAGAUUUUUAUAGCACAAAUGUUUUGCCCUUAAAUUACCAUAUCCAGUCACAUAGUUCUUUCAUGGACAGCCUGGGUGAUUUUGGACAGUCCACUUUUUCUUCAUAUAAGGAGAUAAACCAAAUUGUCAUUGGGAAACUGAAGAGAAAUCGUUGUUCAGGAACUAGUAUCCCCCUUCCUGUCUUCUCUAUAGAAACUUCCUGUACUUUAGUUAGAAUCUAUUUUAAAAGUUCUCCCUGAGUAGGAAACAAACAAACAAAAAACAGUAGCAAAACAUGCCUCUCUGCUGCAAAGCCAUUUAUAAAAACAAAACAAAGCCAAAAAGAACCCUUUUCCCCCCUUAUCCUUUGUACUCAGUAGUGUCAUUGUAGUAAUUAUGAGCAAAAGAGAAAGAUAACCACUGUUAUUCAUAUUUCAAUGGUCUGUCUCCUAAAAUUAUUUGUUCACAGUGGGCUUUUAGAGUCAUGAUAACACAACUUUAAGAGUCCACAAAUGGUAGUGGAGACAUUUAGAAUUUUUUUUUUCUAUUAUGAGAUACACUUAUUGCCAAACUGACUUACUCAUCACAGAAAGGGAAAAAUACCCCUCAAAUCCCAUGAAGAUUAAAAAAUCGUAAUAAAUUAAUUAUUUAUAAUAAUAAUAUAAGUAAUAAACUGUAGUAAAUGAGAGAGAGCAUUGGAGUCCAAGAAGUUCAGUUCUUCUGAUAUAGGUGACCCAGUGCAGGAAUUUUAACCUUUUACUGCUAUCCCUUCCCACUGCCAUCCCUUCCCCUGACCCUCCCAUCCCAGUUUCCUGAGAUUCUUAAAUUACAAAUUAGUCGUUGAUCUAAAUUGGUGGGCAGUUUUCACACCAGGAGUUCUCUAGAUGGAUCAAGGUCUGGACCACCUUCUUCCCUCCAGCUCCCUCAAAAUAACGAUUGAGAGCUUAGUGACUGUAAUUUGAUUUAUAAUAGUAGAAGAAAUGAUCACUUGAAAAGGCCAGGAUUUUAUCCAAAGUAUUGCUUAGUUCAAACUAGACAGAACCAAGAAAAAAUAAAUUAACAGACUAAUAUACUCAAUUCAUUUUUUGUUCGUUUGAUUUUUUUUUUUUUUGGAAAUCUGAAGAGACAUAGUGACCGAUUUCCCCUUUCCAGCCAAGACUACGUCUUUACAAAUUCCCUUUAUGUUAGACAAAAGAGUUCCCUAAAGAGCUCCCUAAAGGAGCCUUAAUUUUAAAAUGCAUUGAGAUAGGGGGAAAGAGAACAGUGGUAACCUGCUAGCUGAUGGUUGGUGUGAAGAGAGUUAAACAGGCUUGCCCAGCUUUCAGAGAAAACUCUUGAGUUACCCACCAGAUAUUAUUGCCUAUGUUCUUCUCAAACCCAACUUUUUCCACUCUCAGGUUCUACAACCCUUAUUACAUAUCAAGUUUGUGUCCUCCCACAAGCUGGGGGGUGGGGUGGGGGGAACUAACCCAGGAUUUCCAGUAUGUGCUUGGUCUGUUUGGCCAAAGGUGACUAACUUAGUGGACUGAGGUCGACCUCCCCCUCCCCCAAAUCAAUAAUUUAAUGUGACUUAUCAGAAAGAGAAAGAAUUGUUUACUUUAAAUCCCUGGAUCCCAUAAAGGGAGAGAGGGAAAGGCACACUGGGAACAGAAGCUGCAGAGGGCCUUGUUUCUGCCUCUGGGCUGCUGAAAGGCAAAGCAGGAGAAAGCUCUUUAGAGGGAUGCAUCUAGCUCUAAGAGAUGUGUGGAACGCCAAGGCCCAGUCACUGUUCAGAUCAGAAUCUGGGACAGACCCUGCAGAGGAGAAGCUCCCCACCAUGCAGCCACUCUUGGAGGUGAAUUCUUAAGAAGUGAUGAGCCACCCAGCGGGGACAGUAGAGAGAAGUUUAUACCUCCACUAUGGCCGAGGACUAUGAAAGGUAAUGCAUAGAGAUCUGGAGACUUCCUUUUUGGUGGGUUCAUGGCAGUGCUGCCAUGUGGAAGUGCAACUAAUAUUCUUUGGGCUGUGUGUUAUCCUUGCCAGAGCUAUGGAGUGUGACAAUGGUGUUUGUGUCCAGUCUAUCAAACGCCAUUAUCACACUAAAUAGCUAUAGUUGGGUACUCCAUCUCUUCAGGGAAGAGCAUGUCAAGCAUCGAGUCAUCUGCUGAAGAUGGACAAAACUGUUACUCUUACUUUAAUGCCCUGUUCAUUCAUGGAUACCAAAGAAAUUGCCAAAAUGGUGGCUCAUAAAAGGGUAUAUUCUUUCAGAGGCAGAAUUUUCUCAACUUUGCCUUUUACCCUUUGCUAUAAAUGGAUGUUUUCCUGAAGGAUGUAAGCUCCUUGAGGGCAGAGAUUAUUUUGUUUUAAUUUUCAUCUUUGUAUCCAUAGCCUAUCACUGCAUCUAGUACUAAUAAUCUUUAAUAAAUGUUUGUUGAAUUGAAUAUA